GUAACGCCACAACUAAAUUGUCUAGAAUAUUUAGUCGAGACAUAUAUAAUUGAAUCUGAGUACAUUAAAAUUACAGAAUAAUUACUUGAAUUCUACAAUAUCACGAUAAUAAUGUGAUAAUCCAGUAAAAUACAACGGAAGGGAAUUAAAUUCUAACUUAACAGAUUAACAUAAAAACAAAGAAGAAGACGAUAUUCUUCUAAUCUGAUAAUCCAAGCUCUACCUCGAUCAUCAGUUCCUACCUGGUCCUUGCUCCGGUUAACCUGUUUACCUAAAAAAAAAUUGAUAGUCGUGGGAUGAGACUACUAAGCCUCAGUGAGCUCCUACUACCCAACUACUGGUGACUACACCGGGGCAACUUAAACUAAUAGUUUUUAACUUUAACCUGAACCUGAAUAUCUAAUAGUCUAAUCCUGACAUAAUCCUGAAGUUUUCAUAAUAUGAUAAUAAAGCAAUAAAGAUGUAACACACAUAAUAAUUAUCUUGUCGAUUUUAUCAUAACAGGAUCACCCCGGGGUAAGCCGGUCCCGGAGUGCCUGGCCUGGUAUUACCGAUAAUAAUGUACGUCGGAAUACAACAUGAGCUUACAGUUCUUAUUACAUGAUUUUGGAUUCUGAAUGAAUCCCCUGACAUGGUACUAAUGACCACGCUUCCUGAUAUUGGUUCUAAUGACCAAACAUCCUGAUAAAUUCUGAAACAUAAUUCCUAAUCCUGAAUGGUUAUCCUACCCAAAAGAAAGAAAACCUUCCCGGGGUAAUUCUAACUGUCCUAUUUCCUGAACCUAAGUUCCUGAGCGUGAUAAACAUUCUAAUCACAUAAUAUUAUUACGCUGUUUACGAAAUAUUCCAGAAUAGUCAGGGACAUAAAACGAGUGGAUUUUUAUUUAAAAUGUUGAUUCUACAAAGUCUUGAUCUGAUACGCUCGCUUAGCGAAGCAAGAUGUUCGCUAUGCGAGAAUACUAGUUCAAUUCUCGGCUUUUUACUUUUAAAAGAGUUUAUCAGUUUCCACCUACAAUCUCAUUCAUGUCCAGUCAUAAGCAACUAAAAUAUUAUUAUAUAAUUAGAAUGGAGAUGGAUUUGGGAUUAAACCUUCUCACACAAUUAUUUCCUAAUUUUCCUAUUGUUGUCAUGCAUAAUUUUGGGGAGACUAAUUUCCU
rnacentral:lncRNA from 1 species